rnacentral:rRNA from 1 species
AGUGUAGGUGGCUAUUUAAGUCGGAUGUGAAAUCCCCGGGCUCAACCUGGGAAUGGCAUUCGAUACUGGAUAGCUAGAAUUUAGUAGAGGUAAGUGGAAUUCCGGGUGUAGCGGUGAAAUGCGUAGAUAUCCGGAGGAACAUCAGUGGCGAAGGCGGCUUACUGGACUAAAAUUGACGCUGAGGCUCGAAAGCGUGGGGAGCAAACAGGAUUAGAUACCCUGGUAGUCC